AUGGAUGAUGCAGAGGAUUGGCAGCUGGGAACUAAGAAAUCAAAACAGGGCUCACAGACACACAAAACACUGAAGACCACAGUGCCAACACAUUGGAACAGUGUCCUCAACAUGAUCAGAAGCUUAGUCAGUAUGGAGACAGAAGUCACUGAAAUCCUGAAGAGGAUAGGAAAGCCCUUGUUAUGCCUCCUACCUGAUGACAUCAAGCUAUUUUGUAACUUAGUUAGCUUUUUGGAAGACUUUGAGAAAUUCACUCUCAUUAUAAGUGAAGUCAGUCCAAACCUGAGUGCCAUACCACUAAUCAGGGCUCGAAUCAAGAAAAUCUGUGCAGUGGCUCCCAGAGAUCCACUACUGAUGAAGAGAGUCAAAGAACAAAUAGUGAAAAACAUGGACAAACGAAUCCCCAUGUCAGAUCUGGUUAGAACCACCGCAGUGUUUGAUCCAGCUGUCAGAGAUAUCACUAUGACGAAAGAUGAAAGCAGAGAGCUGCUGCAGAAUCUCCAUGAGAAACUGAACUCCUCCAGAUUCAGUUCAACAGUGUUUGGGGUUGGAGAUGAGAGGACAACUACUGAUGGUGGUUCUGGAGGUCCUUCUGGUGGGAAUGGUGACCACGAUGGAGAUGUGGGAGGAAGUGCGAAACGUCUGCGACUAGAAUUAUUAGCAGAGGCACAAGAAGAUGCAGAAGCUCAUUCUUCAAGUUCUAUCCUUGACCAAGAGAUAGAUGCUUUUCUGGCAGUGAGAACAAGAGACCAAGGAGCAUUGGACUUUUGGCGAACCCAUAGCAAUACUUUCCCAACACUGUCCGCUAUGGCCCGGUGCUACCUCUCCAUUUCACCAGGUAGUGUGCCGGUGGAAUGCAUGUUUAGUUCCACUGGCCUACUGCUCAAUGGCAAACGAUCAUCACUUGCUCCUUCAAGGUGUAAUAUGAUAAGCUUCAUCCAUGAUAAUGCCAAGUUAUUGUAUACAAUUUAGCCUACAUACAUUUAGCCUAAACACAACACAUUGUAGGCUAUUUGAAAAUGUUUAGUAGCAUACAGACUACAAAAUAAAUAUGUGCAUACG
ensembl:lncRNA